rnacentral:rRNA from 1 species
AGUGAACGCUGGCGGUAGGCCUAACACAUGCAAGUCGAACGGCAGCACAGUAAGAGCUUGCUCUUACGGGUGGCGAGUGGCGGACGGGUGAGGAAUACAUCGGAUUCUACUUUUUCGUGGGGGAUAACGUAGGGAAACUUACGCUAAUACCUCAUACUACCUACGGGUGAAAGCAGGGGAUCUUCGGACCUUUCGCGAUUGAAUGAGCCGAUGUCGGAUUAGCUAGUUUGCGGGGUAAAGGCCCCGCAAGGCGACGAUCCGUAGCUGGUCUGAGAGGAUGAGCAGCAACAGUGGAACUGAGAAACGGCCCAGACUCCUACGGGAGGCAGCAGUGGGGAAUAUUGGACAAGGGGCGAAAGCCUGAUCCAGCCAUACGGCGGGGGUGAAGAAGGCCUUCGGGUUGUAAAGCCCUUUUGUUGGGAAAGAAGAGCAGCAGGUUAAUACCCCGCUGUUCUGACGGUACCCAAAGAAUAAGCACCGGCUAACUUCGU